CUGGUCCUCAAAUGGGGGCAUGUGCACACUCUGUUUACACAUCCACUCACACCUGUGCACCCUCCGUAGUUCUGUGGCCUGGGGGGCUCUGCUCCUCUUGCUGCGGUUCUAUGUAUUUACAUACACACACACACUGUAAUGAAGUCUCAUGGAAUGUACAUCGCGUUUAACGCAAUACAAUACAACUUUCAGCAACGGAUCUCUUGGCUCUCGCAUCGAUGAAGAACGCAGCGAAAUGCGAUAAGUAAUGUGAAUUGCAGAAUUCAGUGAAUCAUCGAAUCUUUGAACGCACCUUGCGCCCUUUGGCUAUUCCGAAGGGCAUGCCUGUUUGAGUAUCAUGAACACCUCAACUCUCGUGGCUUGCCAUGAUGAGCUUGGACUUUGGGGGUCUUGCUGGCCUGUGGGUCGGCUCCUCUCAAAUAAAUCAGCUUGCCAGUGUUUGGUGGCAUCACAAGUGUGAUAACUAUCUACGCUUGCGGUUUCCCACCAGGUAACCUUCAGCGAUGGGGGUUCGCUGGGGCUCAUAAAUGUCUUUCCCCGUAAAGACAGCUCUCUGAACAUUUGAUCUCAAAUCAGGUAGGACUACCCGCUGAACUUAAGCAUAUCAAUAAGCGGAGGAAAAGAAACUAACAAGGAUUCCCCUAGUAACUGCGAGUGAAGCGGG
rnacentral:rRNA from 1 species